rnacentral:rRNA from 1 species
GAUGAACGCUAGCUACAGGCUUAACACAUGCAAGUCGAGGGGUAACGAGAGGAAAGCUUGCUUUCCUUGUCGACGACCGGCGCACGGGUGAGUAACGCGUACCCAACCUGCCCCCAACUAGGGAAUAACCUUGCGAAAGUAAGACUAAUACCCUAUAAUUUCCUCAGAUGCCAUCUGACGAGGAAUAAAGAUUUAUCGGUUGUGGAUGGGGAUGCGUCUGAUUAGCUUGGUGGCGGGGUAACGGCCCACCAAGGCAACGAUCAGUAGGGGUUGUGGGAGGAAGGUCCCCCACAUUGGAACUGAGACACGGUCCAAACUCCUACGGGAGGCAGCAGUGAGGAAUAUUGGUCAAUGGGCGGAAGCCUGAACCAGCCAAGUAGCGUGCAGGAUGACGGCCCUAUGGGUUGUAAACUGCUUUUAUACAGGAAUAAAGUUAGCCACGUGUGGUUAUUUGUAGGUACUGUAUGAAUAAGGACCAGCUAAUUCCGUGCCAGCCGCCGCUGUAA